AGUGAACGCUGGCGGCGUGCCUAAUACAUGCAAGUCGAACGAUGAAGUCCUAGCUUGCUAGGAUGGAUUAGUGGCGCACGGGUGAGUAAUAUAUAGUUAAUCUGCCCUACACAGAGGAACAACAGUUGGAAACGGCUGCUAAUACCUCAUACGCCUAUUUGACAUAAGUUAAAUAGGGAAAGUCUUUUCGGUGUAGGAUGAGACUAUAUCGUAUCAGCUAGUUGGUAAGGUAAUGGCUUACCAAGGCUAUGACGCGUAACUGGUCUGAGAGGAUGGUCAGUCACAUUGGGACUUAGGCCCCGUCCAAACUCCCACGGGAGGCAGCAGGAAGGAAUAUUGCGCAAUGGGGGAAACCCUGACGCAGCAACGGCGCGUGGAGGAUGACACUUUUCGGAGCGUAAACUCCUUUUAUCAGGAAAGAAUAAUGACGGUACCUGAUGAAUAAGCACCGGCUAACUCCGUG
rnacentral:rRNA from 1 species